AACGAACGCUGGCGGCAGGCUUAACACAUGCAAGUCGAACGCACCGCAAGGUGAGUGGCAGACGGGUGAGUAACACGUGGGGAUCUGCCCAAUGGUACGGAAUAGCUCCGGGAAACUGGAAUUAAUACCGUAUGAGCCCGCAAGGGGAAAGAUUUAUCGCCAUUGGAUGAACCCGCGUCGGAUUGGCUAGUUGGUGUGGUAAAGGCGCACCAAGGCGACGAUCCGUAGCUGGUCUGAGAGGAUGAUCAGCCACACUGGGACUGAGACACGGCCCAGACUCCUACGGGAGGCAGCAGUGGGGAAUAUUGGACAAUGGGCGCAAGCCUGAUCCAGCCAUGCCGCGUGAGUGAUGAAGGCCUUAGGGUUGUAAAGCUCUUUCGCCGACGAAGAUAAUGACGGUAGUCGGAGAAGAUGCCCCGGCUAACUUCGUGCCAGCCGCCGCGGUAAGAC
rnacentral:rRNA from 1 species